UUCUUCUUUGCUGUCAUCGUUCCUAUUCAUUCUUCUAGGAUUGGAGAAGGAGGAUGCUCUGAUGAGUCGGUCAGUGAUGGAUCGUUUUUUCUUCUUCUUCUCUGUGGCUACAUCAUCUUCAUGAGGUGCUUUUUUUUUUUUGGAAGCGUAUUAUUUAUGAUCCAGUUUAUGGCCUUUCCACUCUGAAAUCUCAACUUCUAAUUCUAGGGAUUGUGGUGGAGGGUGAUACUCUAUGAUCGAUUGGUGAUUGAGCAGGAAGGGAGGCUACUAAAAAUCUAUAUCGGUGAUGCUUCUGUCAAUAAUGUCACAACAAUGGUUCUGCAAGGGGUUUUGGAAUUACUCCUCAACAUCUUUUCAUAAUGCCAAACGAUCACAACCUGCACCCACUAUGGAGUCGCCUCAAGGAUUGUCAUAUUUGCUCAAGAUUACCAGAGAAAGGUAUCGCUAGACAUGAUGAUCACUUUCUAAAAGCUAUGAUCAAUUGUUGAUUGUACUAUUAUCCUCCAGAUUGUGGAGGAUAAUACUAUGAUCGAUUGUUGAUUGAGGAGGAGGCUACUAAGAUCUUUCUGUGAUGGUCCUUUUGGAGUUACUCCUGAACAGCUUGUCAAAGGAUCACAACAAUGGUUCUCUCAGGAGUUAAAAAACCAACAAGCAGUAAUAUGGACGGGCUGCUGUCAGUGACUUCAAACAGCCUCUCAGAACUUGAAUGAUGAAACGAGAAACAUACAUCUGGAGGUAUAGAUUUGUAGCACUGUAAUUUAUGGAUGAUGUCAAAGGAUCACAACAAUUGUUCCCUACAACAAUAUGGAUGGGCCUCAAGGAUUGGCAUAUUUGCUCAGGACUACCAGAGAAAGGCAUUGGUAGAGAUGAUGAUGAUGAUGACUUGCUAAAGCGCAAGACCAUUUAUGGUUUCGGAUUGUGGAGGAGGAGGAUACUAUGAUCGAUUGGUGAUUGAGGAGGAGGCUGCUAAUAUCUGUCGGUGAUGGUGGAGCAAAAACCAACAGCUUGUCAUAAUGUGGAAUGAUCACAACAAUUGUUCCCUGCAGCAAUAUGGAUAAGCCUCAAGUAUUGUCAAAUACGCUCUAGACUAGCUUGUCAUAAUGUUACAACAAUGGAGGGUUUCAGAUUGUGGAGGAGGGUGAUACUAUGAUCGAUUGGGUGAUUGAGGAGGAUGCUGCUAAAAUCUUUCAGGGAUGGUUUGAUUCAUCCUGGAGGUGAUGCAAAAAAACAACAGCUUGUCAUAAUGUUGUCAAAGGACCACAACAAUUGUUCCCUGCAGCAAUAUGGAUGUGCCUCAAGGAUUGUCAAAUACGCUUUAGACUAGCUUGUCAUAAUGUCACAACAAUGGCUCCCUUCAGCAAUAUGGAGGCCUCAAGGGUUGUCAUAUUUGCUCAGGACUACCAGAGAAAGGCAUCUGUCAAAGGAUCACAACAACAAGCGGCAAUAUGGAUGGGCCUCAAGAUUGUCCUAUUUUCUCUAGCCUAUCAGAGAAAGGCAUCAGUGGAGUUGAUGAUGUUGACUUGCUAAAGCGCAAGACCAUUCAUGAGAUGCUUGCCGUGCCCGUGAUCUCACUUUGAUGGUUGCUGCAGUAACGUCUUUAGCACUUGGGAUCAAAACAGAGGUUUCUAAUUGUUGUCACAGCUGCUGUCAGUUACCACAUACAGUCUCUCAAUACUUGAAUGAUGAAAAGAGAAACAUACAUCUGGAGGAAUAAUUUUGCACCACUGUAAUUUAUGGAUGUUGUCAACGGAUCACAACAAUUGUUCCCUGCAGCAAUAUGGAUGGGCCUCAAGGAUUGGCAUAUUUGCUCAGGACUACCAUAGAAAGGCAUUGGUAGAGAUGAUGAUGAUGAUGACUUGCUAAAGCGCAAGACCAUUCAUGGUUUCUGGUGUUUUUGGAAGCGUAUUAUAAUCCAAUUGUGGAGGAGGAGGAUACUAUGAUCGAUUGGUGAUUGAGGAGGAGGCUGCUAAUAUCUGUCGGUGAUGGAGGUGAUGCAAAAAACUACAGCUAGUCAUAAUGUGAAAGGAUCACAACAAUUGUUCCCUGCAGCAGUAUGGAUGGGCCUCAAGGAUUGUCAAAUACGCUCUAGACUAGCUUGUCAUAAUGUCACAACAAUGGUUCCCUACAGCAAUAUGGAGGGAUUGUGGAGGAUAAUGCUAUGAUCGAUUGGUGAUGGAGGUGGUGCAAAAACCAACAGCGUGGCAUAAUGUGAAAGGAUCACAACAAUUGUUACCUGCAGUAAUAUGGAGGGGUUGCUUCAGCCUCAAAGAUUGUCAAAUACGCUCUAGACUAUCUUGUCAUAAUGUCUCAGCAAUGGUUCCCAGCAGCAAUAUGGAGGGAUUGUGGAUGAUAACACUAUGAUCGAUUUGUGAUUGAGGAGGAGGCUUCUAAAAUAUGAGGUGGUGAAAACCAACAGCUUGGCAUAAUGUGAAAGGAUCACAACAAUUGUUCUCUGCAGCAAUAUGGAGGGGCCUCAAAGAUUGUCAAAGUUGUCUAGACUAGCUUAUCAUAAUGUCACAACAAUGUUUCCCUGCAGCAAUAUGGAGGGAUUGUGGAGGAGGGUGAUACAAUGAUCGAUUGGGUGAUUGAGGAGGAUGCUGCUAAUAUCUGUCGGGGAUGGUUUGAUUCAUCCUGGAGGUGAUGCAAAAAACAACAGCUUGUCAUAAUGUUGUCAAAGGAUCACAACAAUGGUUACAUGGAUGGGCCACAAGGAUUGUCAAAUACGCUCUAGACUAACUAGUCAUAAUGUCACAACAAUGGUUCCCUUCAGCAAUAUGGAGAGAUAAGUUUUCUGUCAUGAGGCUUGCUUAUAUAUGUCUGGUUAUUUUUUUUAUCUCUUGUCUUGAGUUAACUUUGGUCUGCAUGUUUUUUCGUUGUAUCAGCCUCAAGGAUUGUCAUAUUUGCUCAGGACUACCAGAGAAAGACAUCAGUCAAAGGAUCACAACAACAAGCGGCAAUAGGGAUGGGCCUCAAGAUUGUCAUAUUUUCUCUAGACUGAGAAUGUCAUAUUGUCAUAUUUGCUCUAGUCUACCAGAGAAAGGCAUCAGUGGAGUUGAUGAUGUUGACUUGCUAAAGCGCAAGACCAUUCAUGAGAUGCUUGCCGUGCCCGUGAUCUCACUUUGAUGGUUGCUGCAGUAACGUCUUUAGCACUUGGGAUCAAAACAGAGGUUUCUAAUUGUUGUCACAGCUGCUGUCAGUGACCACAUACAGUCUCUCAAAACUUGAAUGAUGAAAAGAGAAACAUACAUCUGGUCUCUAAGAAGGUCUCAAAAGUGAGGAGCUGAGAAAAAGGAUUGAAGAUGGCAACUUGUCGGAGGAUGUAGAUGAUGAGAGUCGUGCUACUCGAGAUUUGUCGGGGGUUUUCCAAGUGAUCUUGGUGAGUCGGAUGCUUCGACACUAGGAAUAAACCAGAUUUACCAACAUUCUCGUUUUGUAGCAAAUGUCUCAGUCUCAAACCUCCAGGAAGAACAGUUAGUUCUAAGCAGGAUGUAAACCAGACGCAGAUUGUUCUUAUUUUGCGGGUUUUCUCACGCCUUCGAGCUUUAAUAAUGAUGCGCUGUAUCUUCCAAAAGGGUUUGUGAUGAGAUGAUUCUGAAGAAUGAAUAUGGUAGAACAUGGAAUUUAGUUUUGAGACACCAUAAGUUUAAAACAACAAUGUUGUUAUCUCACGAGGCUGGAAAAGUUUCUGUUAGAAACAAACCGUGACACAAGGGUAGUAGAGUGUUCAGAAGGUACCGAUGUAGAUUCCCUCUCCACAGAUCCUAGCAGCGGAGAAGAGAGUAGCAAAACCGAGGAAAGUGAAGUUAAGAAGAACAUUGAAGAUAAGUGCAGGUACAACAUCAUUGUUAAGGAAGAUAGUGAAGAGAGCAUCCAAGACAAAAUCAGCUUUGGGAAUGUUCGAAUAUAGAGAAAUGGAAGACUGGAAGUACUGCUCAAAUCAGGAGCUUCAUCUUCAUCAACUCAAAACCGAUUUUUGACAUUAACUAAAACACCAUACUCUCUUAGCGGCAAUAAACUGGAACAGAAACGAUGUCUCGUAUGUUUUUCUAUGCCAACAUUUUGUCUGUAAUACGUAACAUCUCCGUCCAGUUUUUUCUCGCAUGACUUAAAAAGUAAAAAUAUCUUGGU